GCCUGGGUGGCUCAGUUGGUUGAGCAUCUGACUUUGUUUUGGGUCAUGGUCUUGCAGUCUGUGAGUUCGAGCCCCACUUCGGGCU
rnacentral:tRNA from 1 species